GGGGCGCCUGGGUGGCUCAUUCUGUUAAGCAUCCGACUCUUGAUCUCUGCUCAGGUCUUGAUCUAAAGGUCGUGAGCUCAAGCUCCAUUUUGGGCUUCAUGCUGGGCAUGCAGCUUACU